GGUUUGAUGAUAUUGUUUU
rnacentral:sRNA from 1 species